rnacentral:rRNA from 1 species
CAUGCAAGUCGAACGGAGCUGUUUUCUCUGAAGUUUUCGGAUGGAAGAGAGUUCAGCUUAGUGGCGAACGGGUGAGUAACACGUGAGCAACCUGCCUUUCAGUGGGGGACAACAUUUGGAAACGAAUGCUAAUACCGCAUAAGACCACAGUGUCGCAUGGCACAGGGGUCAAAGGAUUUAUCCGCUGAAAGAUGGGCUCGCGUCCGAUUAGCUAGAUGGUGAGGUAACGGCCCACCAUGGCGACGAUCGGUAGCCGGACUGAGAGGUUGAACGGCCACAUUGGGACUGAGACACGGCCCAGACUCCUACGGGAGGCAGCAGUGGGGAAUAUUGCACAAUGGGGGAAACCCUGAUGCAGCGACGCCGCGUGGAGGAAGAAGGUCUUCGGAUUGUAAACUCCUGUCCCAGGGGACGAUAAUGACGGUACCCUGGGAGGAAGCACCGGCUAACUACGUGCCAGCAGCCGCGGUAAAACGUAGGGUGCAAGCGUUGUCCGGAAUUACUGGGUGUAAAGGGAGCGCAGGCGGAUUGGCAAGUUGGGAGUGAAAUCUAUGGGCUCAACCCAUAAAUUGCUUUCAAAACUGUCAGUCUUGAGUGGUGUAGAGGUAGGCGGAAUUCCCGGUGUAGCGGUGGAAUGCGUAGAUAUCGGGAGGAACACCAGUGGCGAAGGCGGCCUACUGGGCACUAACUGACGCUGAGGCUCGAAAGCAUGGGUAGCAAACAGGAUUAGAUACCCUGGUAGUCCAUGCCGUAAACGAUGAUUACUAGGUGUGGGAGGAUUGACCCCUUCCGUGCCGCAGUUAACACAAUAAGUAAUCCACCUGGGGAGUACGACCGCAAGGUUGAAACUCAAAGGAAUUGACGGGGGCCC